UACAGAGGGGGCAAGCGUUGUUCGGAAUUACUGGGCGUAAAGGGCGCGUAGGCGGCCGCCUAAGUCAGACGUGAAAUCCCUCGGCUCAACCGGGGAACUGCGUCUGAUACUGGGUGGCUUGAAUCCGGGAGAGGGAUGCGGAAUUCCAGGUGUAGCGGUGAAAUGCGUAGAUAUCUGGAGGAACACCGGUGGCGAAGGCGGCAUCCUGGACCGGCAUUGACGCUGAGGCGCGAAAGCCAGGGGAGCAAACAGG
rnacentral:rRNA from 1 species